rnacentral:rRNA from 1 species
UACGGAGGGUGCAAGCGUUAUCCGGAUUCACUGGGCUUAAAGGGCGCGUAGGUGGUUUUGCAAGUCAGUGGUGAAAGCCCGGAGCUCAACUCCGGAACCGCCAUUGAUACUGCUUAACUUGAAUCAACUUGAGGUGGAUGGAAUAUUACAUGUAGCGGUGAAAUGCUUAGAUAUGUAAUAGAACACCGAUUGCGAAGGCAGUUCACUAAGGUUGUAUUGACACUGAGGCACGAAAGCGUGGGGAUCAAACAGG